GGGGGUGUAAAGGCUUCGACGGGGAUUGUAAACCUCAAUAAGCGAGCGGCGGUGCGGAACCGCCAUAAAAUCCGCAACCUAAAAUUAACUGACAAAAAUACAGUUGAAUUAGCAGCUGCCUAAGGCGCUGCUCGUCCUGCUUGUGAGUACCACGGCAUAAGCUUGGGCGUCGUUUAGUGGUAAAUGUGAACAGAGGGGGCUCCGAACUUUGUCACACAUCAGGAGCUGCCAAACCGCAAAGCCUGUCGUUGGGCGUUGCGGCAAGGGAGAUUUAAAACAGCGACUACGCUCGUAGAAAAUUUUGGCAAGCAGUUUUCGGACACGGGUUCGACUCCCGUCACCUCCACCA
rnacentral:tmRNA from 1 species